AUGUCACAGGUCAGAGUGGUCAUUUGUUCAGGGCAGAGAGGUACAGCAAGCGUGUCUGUCCCCAACAGCACAUCUCUACUGCAGCAUAGCAGAGAAGCCCCUCGUCAUCAACCCUAUGGAUUACUGAAACUCCAAGACACACAAGUACGAGGUCAUGGCGUUCCUGUGGCACUAGUCUUGGUCCUCCAGGUCGUGUUGAGUGGGCAGCAGCCGUGAUGAGCCAGCAGCUGGCUGCCUGAUGCCCUCCCUCUCCUCCACGCCUCCGGUCAUGAACGCGGAGAACCACAUGCGCCCUGAGGGACCUCAGCUGGACAUGGGCAUGUACAGCCUGGCUUCCCCCACCCUUGGGGUAAGUCCCCUCCUACUCGCUCUCUGUACCAGGCACACUUUAGAGACCACUCCAUAACACGGCUGCAGGGCAGGGGAAGAGAGUAUGUACAGAUAGUGUGUACAGAUAGUAUGUAAAGAGAGUAUGUACAGAUAGUGUUGUAGGUGAAAUUGGUACCAGCCUCACAUGGGAGUACCAGACUAUGCAGGUAACUUACCCUGUGAGCAGGCGCCGGGUGAAUGUGGGUGCAAUUGUGUGUAAAUUGUGAUACCGUCUUUGCGAGGGCCACCAAGACACACUGGUUCUGUCCUUGCAACAGCAACAAUAUGUUGGUAAUCUCACCCGAUUGGACAGGCAUCAACCAUUCAACACAAAGGCAGAUUAAUUAAGUUGAACACCUAGGGGGCGCCACACAAAGUGUAGUGUCCUCCACGUGGUCAAAAUAAUGAUAAUCCGCAAAUCAGUCUCGUUAAAUAUUUCAGUCUCAUAAAAUAUAUUAUACUAUCAAUUCCGAACUCUGAUUAAUAAUUAAAUGAAUAACUACAACCAAAGUUACCUUAUUAAUAGUAUGGUUGAAGGUCAUUGGAAUUCUGAAUAGAAGAGGUUGGCAACGUCCAUUCUUGUGUAACAUUAAAUAGACCAGCGUAUAUAAUCAAAGUAUUUAUUUACACAAUGAUAAGAAAAUAACACACAAUAUGUAAUCUAGCUAAAUGUAACUAACUAAUGAAUUGAAGGAGUGUGGGGAUGUGUGUGUGAGCGUGUGAGCUCGGGGUUGCGCGAGAAAUGCCAGAAAGAAUGUGUGUGUGUUCCUUUGUUUGAUCACCGCAGUUCCGCGUGCAUGUGUGUGUGUGUACGCGAACAUACAUGUGAUGUGGAAAAGGAUGAGCCUAUGUGCAGCGCGAAGUUUGAGUAUUACUUUCACGUGCGUGGCUAUGUGAAGGCCAAUGUAUAUGUAAUCGUGCGCGAUUAAGAUGCCAUGUUAGAAGAGGGAAAUGGUUAGUGAUGCAUGCAAGACCCGAUGUGUCUAAGAAGCAAUCCUAACGAUAACCCUUAGAUGGUGUGGCGAAGCCAACUACCAACUAACAAUGAAAAUAUAUAAACAGUUACGUUCAGUAAACAAAACAUAUGAAACACAUGAACAAUGGCAUGUAAACAGUCUUAUGCUUAGCCAGGUUGUGAAUAGCUAGGAUAGCUAAAUGCCCAGUUAAUGUCAGAGUUACCAGUCCUUUGGGGAAAGUGUUGUGCUGGUCCGACGUAGAUGAGGCAGAGAAGAGAUGAUGCUGUCCGUAGAUGGAGAAAGUUGUCCUUGCUGCGAUGUCUUUGUUUCACUGCAGUUUAGGUCGGAGGAUUUGAUCGCUCGGAAUGUUGCAGUUGAUCACGGAUCUGUUCCCUUGGCAAUUUAGCUAGCAGGUCUAUUGUUAGCUGCUUUCGCUAAACUUACUUCGUCUCACUUAGCAGUUCGUUGACUGAGAGAUCUUAGGCGUGUGUCGGCCGUAAGAAGUGAGAGUGUUCUCUUUGUUGUGAGAGAACAAAGACAGUUGUUCUUCACCGGUUGACGGUGUGCUCCACGCGGUGCUGGAGGUGAGGAGAGGUAAAAAGUUGCGGGUGCCUGGCUGAAUGCAGGCAGAGAGAGAGGGUCACAUCUGGGGAGAUGCGGCUAUUGUCCACGCUCAGGUGGGCGUGGUUAAGAAUUGCAUCAGGUUACAUUUUUAUGAUAGGGGAAAGCUUACGUAGGUACCGGAUGAAACCAUACGUAAGUUACUUAUUGAAGUCAAACACAAUGGACGAAUUCCAGGUGUACCUACAGUGUGUACCAGUGACGUGCGGUGAGGUUCGUGGCUGGUGAGGCACAGAAACCGGAAGUGAUUACGUCAUUCCGGUCUCUAGUUGUUUAAAACAUAGACAUGUAUACAUACAAGUUAUUGUACAAUCGUUUUUUUUUUUUAUUGUGAUAAGUUAUCGGCUCAAUACUCAACUGACUUGUUAACCGAACUUUUACAUAGUCAUACGACUAAACACACAACCGGAGACGGUUGUGACGGUGGUCAAACAGGGGACUGACGAACACUGCGAUUGCUUUGUUCUUUAAUUCCUGUCUCAUACACAAACAGUUGGGAUAGGCAGCAUUGCUGACAGGCAAACUUCUUCUGUCUCAUUUUAUACAACACAUUAAUCAAAUAAAAGUAAACCAGUGCACA
rnacentral:lncRNA from 1 species